rnacentral:rRNA from 1 species
GACGAACGCUGGCGGCGUGCUUAACACAUGCAAGUCGAACGGAAAGGCCCUUCGGGGUACUCGAGUGGCGAACGGGUGAGUAACACGUGGUGAUCUGCCCUGCACUUUGGGAUAAGCCUGGGAAACUGGGUCUAAUACCGAAUAGGACCACGCGCUUCAUGGUGUGUGGUGGAAAGCUUUUGCGGUGUGGGAUGGGCCCGCGGCCUAUCAGCUUGUUGGUGGGGUAAUGGCCUACCAAGGCGACGACGGGUAGCCGGCCUGAGAGGGUGACCGGCCACACUGGGACUGAGAUACGGCCCAGACUCCUACGGGAGGCAGCAGUGGGGAAUAUUGCACAAUGGGCGCAAGCCUGAUGCAGCGACGCCGCGUGAGGGA